UACGAAGGGGGCUAGCGUUGUUCGGAAUUACUGGGCGUAAAGCGCGCGCAGGCGGCUAUCCAAGUCAGUGGUGAAAGCCCGGAGCUCAACUCCGGAACUGCCAUUGAAACUGUUUAGCUGGAGUAUGAGAGAGGUGAGUGGAAUUCCCAGUGUAGAGGUGAAAUUCGUAGAUAUUGGGAAGAACACCGGUGGCGAAGGCGGCUACCUGGCCCAAUACUGACACUCAGGUGCGACAGCGUGGGGAGCAAACAGG
rnacentral:rRNA from 1 species